rnacentral:rRNA from 1 species
CGCUGGCGGCGUGCUUAACACAUGCGAGUCGAACGAUGAGGCCUAGCUUGCUAGGUGGAUUAGUGGCGAACGGGUGAGUAAUACGUGAGUAACCUACCUUUAACUCUGGGAUAAGCCUGGGAAACUGGGUCUAAUACCGGAUACGACCAAUCUCCGCAUGGGGUGUUGGUGGAAAGCGUUAUGUAGUGGUUAUAGAUGGGCUCACGGCCUAUCAGCUUGUUGGUGAGGUAACGGCUCACCAAGGCGACGACGGGUAGCCGGCCUGAGAGGGUGACCGGCCACACUGGGACUGAGACACGGCCCAGACUCCUACGGGAGGCAGCAGUGGGGAAUAUUGCACAAUGGGCGCAAGCCUGAUGCAGCGACGCCGCGUGAGGGAUGACGGCCUUCGGGUUGUAAACCUCUGUUAGCAGGGAAGAAGAGAGAUUGACGGUACCUGCAGAGAAAGCGCCGGCUAACUACGUGCCAGCAGCCGCGGUAAUACGUAGGGCGCGAGCGUUGUCCGGAAUUAUUGGGCGUAAAGAGCUUGUAGGCGGUUUGUCGCGUCUGCUGUGAAGGCCGGAGCUUAACUCCGUGUAUUGCAGUGGGUACGGGCAGACUAGAGUGCAGUAGGGGAGACUGGAAUUCCUGGUGUAGCGGUGGAAUGCGCAGAUAUCAGGAGGAACACCGAUGGCGAAGGCAGGUCUCUGGGCUGUAACUGACGCUGAGAAGCGAAAGCAUGGGGAGCGAACAGGAUUAGAUACCCUGGUAGUCCAUGCCGUAAACGUUGGGCACUAGGUGUGGGGAACAUUCCACGUUUUCCGCGCCGUAGCUAACGCAUUAAGUGCCCCGCCUGGGGAGUACGGCCGCAGGGCUAAAACUCAAAGAAAUUGACGGGGGCCCGCACAAGCGGCGGAGCAUGCGGAUUAAUUCGAUGCAACGCGAAGAACCUUACCAAGGCUUGACAUAUACUGGACCGCAUCAGAGAUGGUGUUUCCCUUCGGGGCUGGUAUACAGGUGGUGCAUGGUUGUCGUCAGCUCGUGUCGUGAGAUGUUGGGUUAAGUCCCGCAACGAGCGCAACCCUCGUUCUAUGUUGCCAGCACGUUAUGGUGGGGACUCAUAGGAGACUGCCGGGGUCAACUCGGAGGAAGGUGGGGAUGACGUCAAAUCAUCAUGCCCCUUAUGUCUUGGGCUUCACGCAUGCUACAAUGGCCGGUACAGAGGGUUGCGAUACUGUGAGGUGGAGCUAAUCCCUAAAAGCCGGUCUCAGUUCGGAUUGGGGUCUGCAACUCGACCCCAUGAAGUCGGAGUCGCUAGUAAUCGCAGAUCAGCAACGCUGCGGUGAAUACGUUCCCGGGCCU